rnacentral:rRNA from 1 species
CACGUAGGCACCAAGCGUUGUCCGGAUUUAUUUGGGCGUAAAGAGCUCGUAGGCGGUUCGGUAAGUCGGGUGUGAAAACUCUGGGCUCAACCCAGAGCCGCCACCCGAUACUGCUGUGACUUGAGUUUCGGUAGGGGAGCGGGGGAAUUCCUGGUGUAGCGGUGAAAUGCGCAGAUAUCAGGAGGAACACCAGUGGCGAAGGCGCCGCUCUGGGCCGAGACUGACGCUGAGGAGCGAAAGCGUGGGUAGCAAACAGG